GUGGAGUGAUCUGUCUGCUUAAUUGCGUUUCACUAAGGGCCCAUAAAUUCAAGGUAUGUUAGCAAAUGCUGCUCUAUUGACCCCUAAUAGGCUUAACUGUCUUUAGCGCGUGUCUCUACGAGUUCUUUAAAGCACUGCGCAUGCUGUUGGGUCCUGAAAGCAACGAACGUGACCGCAACGUCUUGUUGCCUCUCUAUAAUACCUUCUUAUUUUUAAUAAGAGUAUUUACCUGAGGCUAUUUUAAAACUAGACGGACCGCUGUUUCUUUCUUAAACCAGAGGAAGGUUGCGGCAAUAACAGGUCUGUGAUGCCCUUAGAUGUUCCGGGCUGCACACGUGCUACAAUGAUCAGUACAGUGAGCAUCUCAAUUUUAUAACACCGUAUUAAGCGCUUGGGUCGUAAUUGUUAGGCCUUUUGGGUUUUUUCAAUUGCGUUUCUCCAAUGCGCACGGUAAAGCCUGCUUCGAGAGUAAGUGGGUAAUCCAUUGGAAGUAAUGAUUUCCUUAUUUUUAUAAACAGCACACCAAUACACGGCAUUCAUUCCCGAGACGGCUUAGUUCCGACUUUGUGCGAAUGUAAUGUAUUCUUAUCCGUAUGUGCGAUUGUCAAUUCAUGGUGGGGACAGACC
rnacentral:rRNA from 1 species